rnacentral:miRNA from 1 species
UAGUGAAAACAAGAGGGAGGAGACAAGGAGUGCCCCUAAAUUAAAAUAUAGCUUUUAAUAGUAUAGUUUAAAAUAGUAUGUGCUAUAAAUUGAGAAAAAAAUUAUUUUAAACUAUACUAUUAAAAGCUAUAUUUUAAUUUAGGGGCACUCCUUGUCUCCUCCCUCUUCUUAUCUAGG